rnacentral:rRNA from 1 species
AUACAAGAGAGGAAAUCCAUAUUUCAGAAUUAGCGUACGGGGAUUUCGAGAAAUCUAUAAUAUUGCAGGACCGUUUCCUGAUCCCAAUAAAGAUCGAUGGGCUCAGUUAUUACUUGAGCGUGCUGGCAAAGCAGGUGGUUAUAAGGGCGAUAAACAACCAACCGAAAAGAAAGUGCUUGAGAUUAUUAAAAGAAAUCCCGAUAAAAAGUGAAGAAUUGAGGAUUUAUGUCUUGAGUUAAGAUUACUUCCAAGCACCAUAAGAUCCGCCUUACGUACUUUGGAGAAAUUCCAUCUUGUGAGAAAGAUUAGAGAUGGAAAAUCAGUCUUUUACACCCUCGUUGCUGGCUAGACCCCUCCCGGAGACCUUACCGGGGGCGACAGCAGGAUGAUGGCCAGGUUAAAGGCCUUGCCUGACGAGCUGAGAGGAGGUGCAUGGCCGUCGCCAGUGCGUGCCGUGAGGUGUCCUGUUAAUUCAGGCAACGGACGAGACCCGCGCCCCCAGUUGCGACCGGGCCGGAAGGCGCCGAGCACUCUGGGGGGACUGCCCCGGAAACGGGGAGGAAGGAGCGGGCCACGGCAGGUCAGUAUGCCCCGAAUCCCCCGGGCCGCACGCGACGUUCAAUGGUGGGGACAGUGGGCUGCGACCCCGAAAGGGGAAGCCAAUCCCUAAACCCCACCUCAGUAGGGAUCGAGGGUUGCAACUCGCCCUCGUGAACGCGGAAUCCCUAGUAACCGCCCGUUACCACCGGGCGGUGAAUACGUCCCCGCUCCUUGCACACACUGCCCGUCGCUGCACCCGAGCUGGGACUGGGCGAGGGCCAGUCAAGUUGGCUGGUUCGAGCCCAGUCCU